UACGGGGGGGGGCAAGCGUUAUUCAGUAUGACUGGGCGUAAAGGGUCUGUAGGCGGCAAGUUUAGUUGUUGGGAAAAUGUUAGGGCACAACCCUAAAAAAACUUACAAAAACGUACUUUGCUAGAGUAAUAAAGGGGGAUAAUAGAAACUUCUGGAGUAGGGAUGAAAAUCCAGUGACAGCAGAAAGGAAUUUCAAACGGCGAAAGCAAUUAUCU
rnacentral:rRNA from 1 species